UACGUAGGGGGCGAGCGUUGUCCGGAGCUACUGGGCGUAAAGGGCAUGCAGGCGGUCGGACGCGUUUCGGGUGACAGCGGGUGGCUUAACUACCCGAGUGGUCGAAAGACGGUUUGACUUGAGGACGCGAGAGGGACACGGAAUUCCGGGUGGAGUGGUGAAAUGCGUAGAGAUCCGGAGGAACACCGAAGGCGAAGGCAGUGUCCUGGCGCGUAACUGACGCUGAGGUGCGAAAGCCAGGGGAGCGAACGGG
rnacentral:rRNA from 1 species